GUAGGUGGCAAGCGUUGUCCGGAAUUAUUGGGCGUAAAGCGCGCGCAGGCGGUUCUUUAAGUCUGAUGUGAAAGCCCACGGCUCAACCGUGGAGGGUCAUUGGAAACUGGAGAAUUUGAGUACAGAAGAGGAAAGCGGAAUUCCACGUGUAGCGGUGGAAUGCGUAGAGAUGUGGAGGAACACCAGUGGCGAAGGCGGCUUUCUGGUCUGUAACUGACGCUGAGGCGCGAAAGCGUGGGGAGCAAACAGGAUUAGAUACCCUGGUAGUCCACGCCGUAAACGAUGAGUGCUAAGUGUUAGGGGGGUUUUCCGCCCCCCUUAGUGCUGCAGCUAACGCAUUAAGCACUCCGCCUGGGAGUACGGCCGCAAGGCUG
rnacentral:rRNA from 1 species